GACAUUUCGCUUCAGUCUCUCUUUCUUGCAGCCCGGGUCUCUGUCUCUCCGUACAGAGCGCUUAUUCAGACCUCACGUUGCCCUUCCAGCUCCGCCUGCGUCCCCGUUCCUUCCUCCCCAUCAGACUAUUUACGCCAGAAACACCGAAUUUUCCUGCCGACGGCCGGGGUCGGUGGUCCUCGCAUUCAUUCGGGGGCGGGGGUUGGGGGUGGGGGACGCUGUGCCAGUCUGCUUGGAAUUCGACAAAACCCCAGGCGGCUGGACUUAAACACAUCCUCCUGAAUCAUAACCAUCGGUCAGGGUUCCCUGGAAAAAUCUGGAUGUCUAACAAGAACGCUCAUAACCGAUGCGGCUUCUCCACGGCUGAGGUAUCUGCUUGACCCGCUGCUCAGGGCCAUUUGGAAUGGCUGUGAACAUCUCUACGAAACCUCAGGUCUGCGGUCGUAAAGAUGAAAUUCUUUGGAGAGGCUUCCUUGAAUCGUUGUCAUAGAGUGGAGUAGACCGUUCUCAGCUUCUGUCCCGAAUAUUCUGCCCGAGGGAAAAAUGUGCUGAGAUGGAAAAGCAAUCAAGUGGAUUUUCAUGGAGGCAUUUUUAAAAGCAUCUUCUUAGAAGGACGAUGUAGUGGCUGCCCGCUCUGCGUCGGCGUUCUGAUAACGGAUCGCUGUUGCUGGGAGGUGCUGGACGGCCCCGGCCUCUUUGGAGCCCUGUA